rnacentral:rRNA from 1 species
UACAGAGGUCCCAAGCGUUGUUCGGAUUCAUUGGGCGUAAAGGGUGCGUAGGCGGCGGGGUAAGUCAGGUGUGAAAUCCCGGAGCUCAACUCCGGAACUGCACUUGAUACUGCCUUGCUUGAGUACUGGAGAGGAGACUGGAAUUUACGGUGUAGCAGUGAAAUGCGCAGAUAUCAGGAGGAACACCAAUGGCGAAGGCAGCUCGCUGGGACGGUACUGACGCUGAGACGCGAAAGCGUGGGGAGCGAACAGG